AGUGAACGCUGGCGGUAGGCCUAACACAUGUAAGUCGAACGGCAGCACAGAGGAGCUUGCUCCUUGGGUGGCGAGUGGCGGACGGGUGAGGAAUACAUCGGAAUCUACUCUGUCGUGGGGGAUAACGUAGGGAAACUUACGCUAAUACCGCAUACGACCUACGGGUGAAAGCAGGGGACCUUCGGGCCUUGCGCGAUUGAAUGAGCCGAUGUCGGAUUAGCUAGUUGGCGGGGUAAAGGCCCACCAAGGCGACGAUCCGUAGCUGGUCUGAGAGGAUGAUCAGACACACUGGAACUGAGACACGGUCCAGACUCCUACGGGAGGCAGCAGUGGGGAAUAUUGGACAAUGGGCGCAAGCCUGAUCCAGCCAUACCGCGUGGGUGAAGAAGGCCUUCGGGUUGUAAAGCCCUUUUGUUGGGAAAGAAAUCCAGCUGGCUAAUACCCGGUUGGGAUGACGGUACCCAAAGAAUAAGCACCGGCUAACUUCGUGCCAGCAGCCGCCGUAA
rnacentral:rRNA from 1 species